UUGAUUUUCAACAAUUAGAGUGUUUUGGUAGUCUCCAAUUUUUUUGAACUACUUAUUUUAUUUUUAAUUAAUUUAAUAAUUUAUUAUACUUAUCUUGAAAGCUAAUAGUUAUUUAAGUUUUAUCCCCUUUAAUUUAGGAUUAUUACGUUGGCAAUACGUAUUUAUUUUCUAAUGAACUACUUAACCAUUGUUUAUCUAGAAUACAAACUUCUAUUUAUUGUGAGUCAAUACAAGAUUAGCAGUUGAGUUUAGUAUAUUAUUUGUAUGAUUCUUCGUAUUUGAUCUGUUGCACCAUCCUAUUUUUAUUUGCAGAAGAUAGUGGUAGUUUUGUCUUUGAGAAUUGGACCCAUUCCAAGGGUUACAAUGUCUGAGUUCAAAUACAAGUAUGCAUUUGAAGCCUAUAUUGCACAGAGAAUGUUUCAUGGGAUAUCACUUAAAUCUUAUAAUGUGAAUGCAGUUUGAUGAUCCCAUAGAUUAUCUGAUAGAAAAACUCAAUUCAGAAUUUUUCACUUUUUGCGGAAACAAAUAUUUGUUAGAUAUUCAUCAUGUAAUGGAGAUGUCCUUCUUUGGUAAUUUGGACCAAAGGUUGUUUGUAUUGAGCGACAAGCAUCCGAGAACAACGUUCUAUCAAAUAUUUGCAGGAAUGGCAAAGUAGAUGUAGGUUCUACAAGGGAUUGGAUCUUUAACAUUAAUUGUUUAUUUGUAUGCGUUAUCUCUUUUUCUGAUUUUAAUUAUUAUAAAUAUUAUUUUCUCUUUUUAA